GAUGAACGCUGGCGGCAUGCCUAAUACAUGCAAGUCGAACGAGAGGAAGGAAAGCUUGCUUUUCUGAAUCUAGUGGCGAACGGGUGAGUAACACGUAGGUAACCUGCCCAUGUGCCCGGGAUAACUUCUGGAAACGGAUGCUAAAACCGGAUAGGUAGCAGACAAGCAUUUGACUGCUAUUAAAGUGGCUAAGGCCAUGAACAUGGAUGGACCUGCGGUGCAUGAGCUAGUUGGUGAGGUAACGGCCCACCAAGGCGACGAUGCAUAGCCGGCCUGAGAGGGCGGACGGCCACAUUGGGACUGAGACACGGCCCAAACUCCUACGGGAGGCAGCAGUAGGGAAUUUUCGUCAAUGGGGGGAACCCUGAACGAGCAAUGCCGCGUGAGUGAGGAAGGUCUUCGGAUCGUAAAGCUCUGUUGUAAGAGAAAAACGACAUUCAUAGGGAAUGAUGAGUGAGUGAUGGUGUCUUACCAGAAAGUCACGGCUAACUACGUGCCAGCAGCCGCGGUAA
rnacentral:rRNA from 1 species